AUUGAACGCUGGCGGCAGGCCUAACACAUGCAAGUCGAGCGGAUGAAGGGAGCUUGCUCCUGGAUUCAGCGGCGGACGGGUGAGUAAUGCCUAGGAAUCUGCCUGGUAGUGGGGGAUAACGUCCGGAAACGGGCGCUAAUACCGCAUACGUCCUAAGGGAGAAAGUGGGGGAUCUUCGGACCUCACGCUAUCGGAUGAGCCUAGGUCGGAUUAGCUAGUUGGUGGGGUAAAGGCCUACCAAGGCGACGAUCCGUAACUGGUCUGAGAGGAUGAUCAGUCACACUGGAACUGAGACACGGUCCAGACUCCUACGGGAGGCAGCAGUGGGGAAUAUUGGACAAUGGGCGAAAGCCUGAUCCAGCCAUGCCGCGUGUGUGAAGAAGGUCUUCGGAUUGUAAAGCACUUUAAGUUGGGAGGAAGGGCAGUAAGUUAAUACCUUGCUGUUUUGACGUUACCAACAGAAUAAGCACCGGCUAACUUCGUG
rnacentral:rRNA from 1 species